CGAGCACUGCAGCACAACUCACGGGCGCAGCGUGCACAAAGUCUGCGUGGGAAUCACGUUUACAAGAAAGAGGGAGGGGGCGGUCACGAGGGGCGGCGGGCGCCAGGGCUCCGGUUCCGCGGCCGGCCGGGAAGGCCUCGCGCCAGCCGGGCGCACGCCCAAGGCGCCGGGCCCGCCUCCUGCUCCCGGGCAGCGGGAACCGCGAACCGCGCCGUGGACGGCCCGGGAGGGAGCGCUGCGCCCCCUGGCGGCGGGGCCCGUCCCUGUCCGCUGCCGGCCGCCGGCCGUCGCCGCCGCGGGCCUGCCUCGCUCCAUUUGCUGACUCCGGAGGCAGCGUCCCUCCGAGCGGCGGCUUCUCGGGCCUCCCGCUCCCUGCUCCGUAUCUUCCUCCUGUCCCCGCCCCCUACUCCUGCUCUGACACCCCUCUUCUGCACGCCGAGCCCGUUCCCAGCCGCAGCCCGGCGGAGCGCAGACACCGAGCCCGCCGAUGGCUUCGCAGAGCCUUCCGGCGGCCCCGGCCGCUCCAUCGCGGCGCCCGGCGGGGGUGCGGGGCCGGCGCGCGGCGCGAGUGGGGCGGUGGCGGCGCGGACUGUUCCACUGCGCGUUCCCCCCCGCCCCCGCGCGGCGCGCGUGCUCCCCGGAACGCCAUGGAGCCGCCGCGUUCCGAGCGGGCACAAAGGGGCGCGCGGCACAAUGGGCGCGGCGAGCCCGUGGGCGCCCGGCGCCCGCUCCGGCGACUCGGCCCUGCGCGGGGGUGGGCGCCCCUCCCGCCGAGCGCUCUCCGGGCAGCCCCCCUACGCGUCCCCUCCCUUGCUCCCGCCCCCCACCCCGGCAUGGAUGUUGCAGCCACUAGCCCGUCCGUCUGCUCUGGAGCCGCCGCCACCGCGCGGCCGGCUUGAACCGCCCCGCACUUACCUGGGACACGAGUUCUGUACUUUGCAGAGCGGGCCCGCGCCGAGUUGGGGCGCCACGUGGGGGGUAGGGGGAGCGCGGGGCUGGGGAGUGGGGGCCGCGCGCGGAGGGCCAGGCCGGGGCGGCCCGGGGAGUUGCUGGGGGCAGCGGGCGGGCGCCGUGUAUUUUCCCCUCUCUUUGUGUGUGUCCGUGCGCUGCGCUCUCGCGUGA
rnacentral:lncRNA from 1 species